rnacentral:rRNA from 1 species
UUCAAAGAGUGCGUAAUAGCUCACUAGUCGAGUGAUGUUGCGCGGAAAAUUCAACGGGGCUAAGCAUACAACCGAAGCUUGGGCAGUAGAAAUACUGGGUAGGGGAGCGUUCUGUACGGGCAGAAGCAUCAGCGGAAGCAGAUGUGGACUGUACAGAAGUGAGAAUGCCGGAAUGAGUAGCGAGAAUUGUGUGAGAAUCAUAAUGGCCGAAAAUCUAAGGUUUCCGGGGGUAGGGUCGUCCACCCCGGGUUAGCCGGGAGCUAAGGCGAGGCCGCGAGGCGUAGUCGAUGCACAAACGGUAGAGAUUCCGUUGCCGCCAGAUCUUAAGUAACUGACACGAGGGUAGAGUUCAACCCGGCCGAUGGUAGAGCCGGGCGAAAGGGACUGAAGAAUAGUAGGGAAGUGAACGAAGCCAGCGGCGAGAAAAGGUUAUGUAUGAAAUCAGGCGCCCGUACCGCAAACCGACACAGGUAGAUGAGGAGAGGAUCCUAAGGCCAGCGGGAGAAGGGUUGUUAAGGAACUCGGCAUAUUGACCCCGUAACUUCGGAAGAAGGGGUGCCUCCGUAAGGAGGCCGCAGUGAAAAGGCCCAGGCAACUGUUUAUCAAAAACACAGGUUUCUGCAAAAGCGAAAGCUGAAGUAUAGGAGCUGACGCCUGCCCGGUGCUGGAAGGUCAAGGGGAUUGCUUAGCGCAAGCGAAGGCGAGAACUUAAGCCCCAGUAAACGGCGGCCGUAACUAUAACGGUCCUAAGGUAGCGAAAUUCCUUGCCAGGUAAGUUCUGGCCUGCACGAAUGGCGUAAUGAUCUGGGCACUGUCUCAACAGCCCGCCCGGCGAAAUUGUAGUACCGGUGAAGAUGCCGGUUUCCUGCGACUAGACGGAAAGACCCCAUGGAGCUUUACUGUAGUCUGAUACUGAAAUUUGGUUCAUUAUGCACAGGAUAGGUGGGAGACAGAGAAACCCGGGCUUUGGCUUGGGCGGAGUCGCCGUUGGGAUACCACUCUUGAUGAACCAAGUUUCUAACCUGCUCCCGUGAUCCGGGAGGGGGACAAUGUCAGAUGGGCAGUUUGACUGGGGCGGUCGCCUCCAAAAGAGUAACGGAGGCGUUCAAAGGUUGGCUCAGCGCGGACGGAAAUCGCGCAAUGAGUAUAAACGUAUAAGCCAGCCUAACUGUGAGACCUACAAGUCGAGCAGUAACGAAAGUUGGAGUUAGUGAU